GACGAACGCUGGCGGCGUGCUUAACACAUGCAAGUCGUACGGUAAGGCCCUUUCGGGGGUCCACGAGUGGCGAACGGGUGAGUAACACGUGAGUAACCUGCCCACAACUUUGGGAUAACGCUAGGAAACUGGUGCUAAUACUGGAUAUGUGCUCCUGCUGCAUGGUGGGGGUUGGAAAGCUCCGGCGGUUGUGGAUGGACUCGCCGCCUAUCAGCUUGUUGGUGGGGUAGUGGCCUACCAAGGCGGCGACGGGUAGCCGGCCUGAGAGGGUGACCGGCCACAUUGGGACUGAGAUACGGCCCAGACUCCUACGGGAGGCAGCGGUGGGGAAUAUUGCACAAUGGGCGCAAGCCUGAUGCAGCAACGCCGCGUGCGGGAUGACGGCCUUCGGGUUGUAAACCGCUUUCAGCAGGGACGAAGCUUUUUGUGACGGUACCUGCAGAAGAAGCACCGGCUAACUACGUG
rnacentral:rRNA from 1 species